GAUGAACGCUGGCGGCGUGCUUAACACAUGCAAGUCGAACGGAAAGGCGCUGCUUUUGUGGGGUGCUCGAGUGGCGAACGGGUGAGUAACACGUGAGUAACCUGCCCUUGACUUUGGGAUAACUUCAGGAAACUGGGGCUAAUACCGGAUAGGAGCUCCUGCUGCAUGGUGGGGGUUGGAAAGUUUCGGCGGUUGGGGAUGGACUCGCGGCUUAUCAGCUUGUUGGUGGGGUAGUGGCUUACCAAGGCUUUGGCGGAUAGUCGGCCUGAGAGGGUGACCGGCCACAUUGGGACUGAGAUACGGCCCAGACUCCUACGGGAGGCAGCAGUGGGGAAUAUUGCACAAUGGGCGGGAGCCUGAUGCAGCGACGCCGCGUGCGGGAUGACGGCCUUCGGGUUGUAAACCGCUUUCGCCUGUGACGAAGCGUGAGUGACGGUAAUGGGUAAAGAAGCACCGGCUAACUACGUG
rnacentral:rRNA from 1 species